rnacentral:lncRNA from 1 species
CUUCUUACUAGUCAAACUCCAUCUACCACCCCCCAUUCUUUCCACACCCACAGCAAUUCAAACAGGGAGGCUUCUGAGGCAACCAGUUAAAGCCCUCUUUUAUAGAUGAGGAAACUGAUGCUUGCAGAAGUGAAUGACCAGCCUAAGGCCCACAGCUGAACCAGCGGAUAUUCUCAGCCAAGGCUUUGCAAGUAAGAAAAGAAGAUAAAUGGAUCCUGGUGCCGUUGUUUAAAGUGUGCAUGCUUGCUACAGAGUCUUCAUUUCAUAGUCCAGCCUCAACCAAUUCACCUAUGCAUUACGUUCCCACUGCCUCGCUUCUCACUGAAACGAACAAGACAUGGGUGAGGAGGAAAGUUUGCACUUGUUGUCUGUGCACUUCUUACAUAAAGUACAAUUGUUUUCUAUCCUUGGCCUUUGACCAAAAGUGAGCCAGCUAAUAGUUUAACUUCCACUCAAACAAACAUUUUAACCUGUAAUCAGAAGAGUUGAAAAUAGCAAAUUUCUGGGGAUUCCAUUUCUUUCAUGAUACCUUCUCCACUUUCUCAGAAGAAAACUAACAAAACAUGCUUGCCUUACUUAGUUUGAAAAAAAUUGAGACUGCUGUCUUUACUCUUCACCCAAAAGAUACGUUCCUUUGUUCCUCAAUCUGAAAUGCAUUUCCCAUAUCUGCAUAUUACAUUAAAAUCUUCCUUUCUAAUAUCUUUUUAAAGGACUAGCUUUGUGUUCAACUCUUACUAAGCCCUAUAUAUCCCCAUCAUGGUU